NGGCUCCACCAGCUGGAGCCGCUUGAAGCUGAGGGAGCCCUCGAUGCGGAGCUUGCCGGAGCCAAGCGAGGCCUUGAGGAACGUCGCCUGCUCCUCCGCCGCGACGAGGCCGCAUUCGCCCGCGCCGCCGUCCUCCUCCACGGGGCACGAGAAGAGCACGCCCAUCGCGCCGCGCAAGCUCAAAGCAGAGCAAAACCAACCGAAGCUCGCGAUUUCUCCUCGUGCCGAUCCUGUUUGACCCCGCUGGAUCCCACCUCGAGGCCGGUCGUCGACGAACAAGAGCGAGUGCAGUAGAGCUGUGGUAUGUCUGUAUGUAUGUAUUUCUUGGUGCGAGCGAGCGAACUACCGGGCUGGCUGCAGGAGCCACUGGGCGAAUAUAUAGCGGGAGGAGACCGAGCAGACCGGGCUGGCCAGUGGAGGGACGCGCGGUGAGGGUGGGCCACCGUCGGAUGCGGAAAAGCG
rnacentral:lncRNA from 1 species